AAUAGAUACCCGGGUAGUCCAUGCCGUAAACGUUGGGAACUAGAUGUAGGGCCUGUUCCACGGGUUCUGUGUCGUAGCUAACGCAUUAAGUUCCCCGCCUGGGGAGUACGGCCGCAAGGCUAAAACUCAAAGGAAUUGACGGGGGCCCGCACAAGCGGCGGAGCAUGCGGAUUAAUUCGAUGCAACGCGAAGAACCUUACCAAGGCUUGACAUAUAGAAGAACACUGCAGAGAUGCAGGACUCUUUGGACACUUCUAUACAGGUGGUGCAUGGUUGUCGUCAGCUCGUGUCGUGAGAUGUUCGGUUAAGUCCGGCAACGAGCGCAACCCUCGUCCUAUGUUGCCAGCACGUAAUGGUGGGAACUCAUGGGAUACUGCCGUGGUCAACACGGAGGAAGGUGGGGAUGACGUCAAAUCAUCAUGCCCCUUAUGUCUUGGGCUUCACGCAUGCUACAAUGGCCGGUACAAAGGGCUGCGAUACCGCAAGGUGGAGCGAAUCCCAAAAAGCCGGUCUACAGUUCGGAUUGGGGU
rnacentral:rRNA from 1 species